UUGUGUUGCUUGGACAGUUUGAAUUUCUAUGUUUACAUCUCGCAUCAUCAACACUUCGAUAAGAGUUGUCCAUUAGUGUAUCACUGUAUCUUCUAUCGUCCUAGGGUUUAUACCUUACAUCAGUUCCUCAGACGAAAGACCAACUUGUGUAUCUAUUUAUGUUCUCUAUUAUUUUAUGUACGCUGAGUUUAUGUUAAACCUUCGAUGUCAAAGUAUAUCAUUGUAACGAACACGAUUUUUUCCCCAUGUUUUUAAUGUUAACGCGUGUCUGUUUGUGUUUUAUGAAAGUUUGAGGUAAUUGAUUUGCGACGCCGAAUUCAUUGACGAAGCAGCGCUGUUCUCAACUUUAGAUCUUAAUAUCAUAGGUAUACCCUCCCAAAAUGGAUGCCCAACAACGUCUAAGGGAAGAACUUCUUAAGAAAAUUGACAGCCUUAAAAAGAAGAAUAAAGAGAAAGACGAAGUAAUCCAGGCUGAAAAAAGAAAACUUGCAGAACUCGAAGAGGAACAAAAAGAAUUAAUUCAAGAUGUAAAAGAGAAGCGGAGAGUGUAUAAAAAAUACAAAAGAAUGCUGAAAUCGAUGAAAAAAUGAGUCAAUCAGCUCUCGAUAAGGACGCUGUCAUCGAACAAGAUUUCGUUCCUAUUCUGUAGCACUUUGAACGCUGCAGAGGCAGCAGCUGCGACCACAGCCAAUUUGCUGAAACGUGUACUUUUUCCCUUUUUUUAAUCUGUUUUGUAAUAUAUGUUUAAUUGUAAAUUUUAGAUUUUUUUUAUAUAAUAAGUUAUGUAAUUAUAGAUACUUGACUGCUCCUUAUUAAAAAUAAUUUUUUCAACUUCUA